rnacentral:rRNA from 1 species
AGCAGCCGCGGUAAUUCCAGCUCCAAUAGCGUAUAUUAAAGUUGUUGCAGUUAAAAAGCUCGUAGUUGAAUUUCGGGGUUAGCAGGUCGGUCGUGCCAUCGGUAUGAACUGGUCUCGCUGAUCCCUCCCUCUUGACGAACUGUGAUGCCAUUAAUUUGGUGUCGCAGGGAAUCAGGACUGUUACUUUGGAAAAAUUAGAGUGUUUAAAGCAGGCUCACGCUUGAAUACAUUAGCAUGGAAUAAUGAAAUAGGACGUUUGAUCCUAUUUUGUUGGCUUCUAGGAUUGACGUAAUGAUUAAUAGGGAUAGUUGGGGGCAUUAGUAUUCAAUUGUCAGAGGUGAAAUUCUUGGAUUUAUUGAAGACUAACUACUGCGAAAGCAUUUGCCAAGGAUGUUUUCAUUAAUCAAGAACGAAAGUUAGGGGAUCGAAGACGAUCAGAUACCGUCGUAGUCUUAACCAUAAACUAUGCCGACUAGGGAUCGG